rnacentral:misc_RNA from 1 species
GAACGCACCUUGCGCUCCCUGGUAUUCCGGGGAGCAUGCCUGUUUGAGUGUCAUGAACUCUUCAACCCACCAGUUUCUAGUAGACUGCGUUGGUGUUUGGAUUUUGAGCGUUGCUAGUCUGACUAGCUCGUUCGUAAUAUAUUAGCAUCUCUAAUUCGAAUUCGGAUUGACUCAGUGUAAUAGACUAUUCGCUGAGGACACUUUUAUUAGUGGCCGUACUAGAACCAGUAGAAGCUUCCAACUAUUUUAGUCAACUUUAAUUUAGACCUCAGAUCAGGCAGGAUUACCCGCUGAACUUAAG